GUACUUCCGGUGGAGGGUGGCAGGGUUGGGGGGAGGGGUGAAGAACCACAGGCUGGCUUGGCUCGGAAUGGCUCAGCCUGUCUGUGUUUCUUCUACCAUGGUCUGCAGACCAAUUCAACUUCCAGGAACCUUAGUUGGCUCCACCUUUAGGAUCACACUGAUGGAUCAAGGGUUGCUCCAAGCAGGCUAGGGUCCUUCUGGCUGACUGCUUCCCACCUCUUCAUGUCUCCAUUCCACAGGACUGGAGCCAUCUGACUGCCUUGGGACACAGAGUAGAAGUCUGACAGAAAGAUGGACCCAUUGCUCAGGCAAGCGGAUGGAGAUCCAAUGCUGUACCCCUGCCUGAAAGCACAGGAAGAACCUGAAAGGCACCCAAAUGGGGUCACGUGCUGACCUGGCCCAGUGGGACUAGAUUGGUAUUGCUCCAGGCCAUGAGUUCGAGAGCUAUUCAGCCUCUAGUAUCCGUCCAAAAGAUGCUGCAAGCACAGCAGGACCUCUGGAUAGCUGAACCCUGCUGUCUAAGUUUUAGCAUUUUGUGUAUAACGUGUCAUGGGGAAUUUCUUUUCUGAUCCUAGAUAUUCGGUAUUCUGUCUGUUUCUUGCUCCUCAAUGGGCACUUCCUAACAUAGUUAGAGGCCGCUUGUUCUUUCUCCGGCUGCCGAGACUUGAAAUAAUCACACAGACACUUAAUUAUUAUAAUACUGCAUGGCCUAUUAGCUUAUAUAUAUAUUUCUAGCUAGCUCUUACAUCUUAAAUAAACCCAUUUCUAUUUAUCUGUGUAUCGCCACGUAGUUGUGACUUACCAGUAAGGUUCCAUUUGGCAUCCAGCAUCUGUCUCCUGUGGCAGCUACAUCCUAAUUUAGAUUGGGGACAUUUUCAGUCAUGGUUUUGUUAAGAAUGUUUUCUGUGAGUGGGGUGCAUGCUUUUAAUCCCAGCACUGGGGAGGCAGAGGCAGGCCUGUGAGUUUGAGGCCAGCCCGCUUUACAGAGUGAGUUCCAGGACAGCCAGGGCUGUUAGAGAAAAACCCUAUCUCAAAAAACAAAACAAACAAACAAACAAAAAACCCAAACUGAAAAAAUAUUUUUUUUUCUGUGACUUUGAACUGAACCUCUUCUCCUUUAUACCUAUUAUUUGUAGGCUUGGUCUUUUCAUAGUGUCCUGGAUUUCUUUUUUUAAUGUUUUGAGCCUGACUGUGUUUUUUUUUUUUUAAUUUUGACUUUUUUUUAUUGAGAAUAGGAAAAAAAAAGUUUCCGCCUCCUCCCAGCCUCCCAUUUC